GUGCUCGCUUCGGCAGCCACAUUUACUAAAAUUGGACCGAUACAGAGAAGAUUAGCACGGCCCCUGCGCGGGGAUGGCAUGCAAAUUCAUGAAGCGUUCCAUAUUUUU